UUGCUGCUAGAAGAAAAGAAAAGAAAAGAGUAUCUUACGUACUGAGUUGUGGCAUAACUUUUAGCAUUCGUGAGCUUCAGUGAUGAAUUUGUGUGAAUGUUCAAAUGCUAAUAUACGAAAACUGAGGAACGGAGGGGCCAAGUAAAUUGCUCAAGGACCCACGGCUAAUAAGUAGGGUGGUAAAGGCUCUGUUGUAACGGGUCCCAGGGUUCCUCACUGUACCCCGUGUUCUUCUUCCAAAACCUUCUUCACACCUCCUCAAAUUAUCCUAAAGUUCGAGUGUUACCUGUUUCCUGCUGGGACCUGACUGACACAGUUCUUGGAGGCUAGAGAUCUGAAAUCAAGGUGUUGGCGGGGCCCUGCUCCCUCUGAAGACUCGAGGGGAGAAUCCUCCCUUGUCACUUCCAGCCUCUGGUGGUUGCAGGAGAUCCUGGGCUGGUAGGCUCCUCAUUCCAGGUUCUACAAUGACCUUAUUCCCCAGUCAGGUCAUUUACAGGAACCACAGAUUUCAACUCUGCAAAAGAGCCUGAGGUGUGUCACAUGCCAAGAAAGACUGGGCACGUUUGUUGCUCAGCACAUGGACCAAAGACCGCUAGACACAAUGAUUUCAACAUAUGCCUCUCUGCUAAAAACAAAACAACACCCCGAGGAUGGGCCAGAGACUGCAGACAAAAUUUACAUUAAUUAAGAAAAUAAACAGUUUUCAAGUACUGUGGAACUGUCUAUAAACACCUACUCAGACAGUCCUAUUUUCAGUCUGGGAGACUGAGGCCCAUGAGGACCUGAUGGCUUUGUGCCUCAGAAGCUGCUCACGCUGGAUAUGGAGCACUUGCCUUGCAAAUUCCAGAUCAUUGUGAAAAGCUACUGACAAACGGCCCCAGUUUUUCCCACCUGGUCAUGCAACAUGCAGAGCAUCAUCCUGUCUCCUCUUCACCUCUAGCCAUGGAAGUCGGUGGCAUCAUGGUUCCCAUUGUGCAGGUGAAGAGCCCAGUACAUAGAGGUGAAGUCACUUGCUGCAGCUCACAGGGUUACUGCAGAGUUUCAGGCCUCACGCUCCUCAGACUUGGGGGCUGCCCAGUGGAAGGAGAUACCCAACUAUUUUUGACAUG